rnacentral:sRNA from 1 species
GCCAGGCAUGGUGGCACAUGCCUGUAAUCCCAGCAGCUGGGGGAGGCUGAGGCAGGAGGAUCACGAGUUCAAAGCCAACCUCAACAACUUAGUGAGGUCCUAAGCAACUUAGUGAGACCCUGUCUCUA